rnacentral:rRNA from 1 species
ACGCUGGCUACAGGCUUAACACAUGCAAGUCGAGGGGAAACGGCAUUGAGUGCUUGCACUGAAUGGACGUCGACCGGCGCACGGGUGAGUAACGCGUAUCCAACCUUCCCGUUACUGCGGGAUAACCUGCCGAAAGGCAGACUAAUACCGCAUGUUCUUCGAUGACGGCAUCAGAUUCGAAGCAAAGAUCCGUCGGUAACGGAGGGGGAUGCGUCUGAUUAGCUUGUUGGCGGGGCAACGGCCCACCAAGGCGACGAUCAGUAGGGGUUCUGAGAGGAAGGUCCCCCACAUUGGAACUGAGACACGGUCCAAACUCCUACGGGAGGCAGCAGUGAGGAAUAUUGGUCAAUGGACGCAAGUCUGAACCAGCCAAGUAGCGUGCAGGAUGACGGCCCUAUGGGUUGUAAACUGCUUUUAUGUGGGAAUAAAGUGGCGCACGUGUGCGCCAUUGCAUGUACCUCAUGAAUAAGGACCGGCUAAUUCCGUGCCAGCAGCCGCGGUAAUACGGAAGGUCCGGGCGUUAUCCGGAUUUAUUGGGUUUAAAGGGAGUGUAGGCGGUCUGUUAAGCGUGUUGUGAAAUUUAGGUGCUCAACAUUUAACUUGCAGCGCGAACUGUCAGACUUGAGUACACGCAGCGCAGGCGGAAUUCAUGGUGUAGCGGUGAAAUGCUUAGAUAUCAUGAGGAACUCCGAUCGCGAAGGCAGCCUGCGGGAGUGUUACUGACGCUUAAGCUCGAAGGUGCGGGUAUCGAACAGGAUUAGAUACCCUGGUAGUCCGCACAGUAAACGAUGGAUGCCCGCCGUUGGCGCCCUGCGCCUGCGACCAAGCGAAAGCAUUAAGCAUCCCACCUGGGGAGUACGCCGGCAACGGUGAAACUCAAAGGAAUUGACGGGGGCCCGCACAAGCGG